UCUGUAAAAAAGUUGAUUUUAGAUUGAUCCUGUCUUAAUUUUUUAUUGUUUGAUUAGUUGAUUUAUAAUAUUAAAUAUAAGUUUUUGCUUGAUACCUCUAUUUUCUUAAUGAUCAUUGAGUUGUUUAUUUUUAGUUUUUAUUUUUGGGUAUCAAAUAACUUUGUACCUAGUUAAUUUUUUAUAGGACUGUUUAAUGUUGUGCCAGCAAACGCGGUUAUACAAUUAGUUCAAAUUAAUUUUUUUGGUUAUUUAUUUAUUU
rnacentral:rRNA from 1 species